rnacentral:rRNA from 1 species
UACGGGGGGAGCAAGCGUUGUUCGGAUUUACUGGGCGUAAAGGGCUCGUAGGCGGCCAACUAAGUCAAACGUGAAAUCCCUCGGCUUAACCGGGGAACUGCGUCUGAUACUGGAUGGCUUGAGUUUGGGAGAGGGAUGCGGAAUUCCAGGUGUAGCGGUGAAAUGCGUAGAUAUCUGGAGGAACACCGGUGGCGAAGGCGGCAUCCUGGACCAACACUGACGCUGAGGAGCGAAAGCCAGGGGAGCAAACGGG